UCGAGAAUCUUCCGCAAUGGACGCAAGUCUGACGGAGCGACGCCGCGUGAUGGAUGAAGUCUUUCGGGAUGUAAACAUCUUUUAUGAGCGAGAAAGUUUAUUGAUCAGCUCAUGAAUAAGGGGUUGCUAAACUCGUGCCAGCAGCAGCGGUAAUACGAGUGCCCCAAGCGUUAUCCGGAAUUAUUGGGCGUAAAGGGUGUGUAGGCGGUUUCAUUAGUCUCCUGUUAAAUCUCCCGACUCAAUCGGGAAUCUGCAGGAGAAACGGUGAACCUAGAAGAUGCGAGGGGUUUGCGGAACUCAUAGUGUAGGGGUGAAAUCCGUUGAUAUUAUGGGGAACACCAAAAGCGAAGGCAGCAAACUAGCGCAUUCUUGACGCUGAAACACGAAAGCGUGGGUAGCGAAUGGGAUUAGAUACCCCUGUAGUCC
rnacentral:rRNA from 1 species